rnacentral:rRNA from 1 species
GAUGAACGCUAGCGGGAGGCUUAACACAUGCAAGUCGAGGGGCAGCAUAGGGUAGCAAUACUCUGAUGGCGACCGGCAAACGGGUGAGUAACGCGUAUGCAACCUACCCUGUACAGGGGGAUAACCCGGAGAAAUUCGGACUAAUAUCCCGUAAUAAUAUCCGGAGGCAUCUUUGGAUAUUUAAAGUUUCGACGGUACGGGAUGGGCAUGCGUAACAUUAGCUGGUUGGUAAGGUAACGGCUUACCAAGGCUAUGAUGUUUAGGGGUCCUGAGAGGGUGGUCCCCCACACUGGUACUGAGACACGGGACCAGACUCCUACGGGAGGCAGCAGUGAGGAAUAUUGGUCAAUGGGCGCAAGCCUGAACCAGCCAUCCCGCGUGCAGGAAGACGGCCCUAUGGGUUGUAAACUGCUUUUCCAGGGAGAGAAACUUACGCACGUGUUGCGUGACUGACGGUACCCUGGGAAUAAGCAUCGGCUAACUCCGUG